GCCGCGGUAAUACAGAGGGUGCAAGCGUUAUUCGGAAUUACUGGGCGUAAAGCGCGCGUAGGCGGAUGAUUAAGUCAGUUGUGAAAGCCCUGGGCUCAACCUAGGAACUGCAUCUGAUACUGGUCGUCUAGAGUUUAAGAGAGGGAAGUGGAAUUCCAGGUGUAGCAGUGAAAUGCGUAGAUAUCUGGAGGAACAUCAGUGGCGAAGGCGACUUCCUGGCUUAAAACUGACGCUGAGGUGCGAAAGCGUGGGUAGCGAACGGGAUUAGAUACCCCGGUAGUCCACGCCGUAAACGAUGUCAACUAGUUGUUGGUCUUAUUAAAAAGAUUAGUAACGAAGCUAACGCGAUAAGUUGACCGCCUGGGGAGUACGGUCGCAAGAUUAAAACUCAAAGGAAUUGACGGGGGCCCGCACAAGCGGUGGAGCAUGUGGUUUAAUUCGAUGCAACGCGAAGAACCUUACCAUCCCUUGACAUGUAGAGAAUUUUCCAGAGAUGGAUUAGUGCCUUCGGGAACUCUAACACAGGUGCUGCAUGGCUGUCGUCAGUUCGUGUCGUGAGAUGUUGGGUUAAGUCCCGCAACGAGCGCAACCCUUAUCUUUAGUUGCUACCAUUAAGUUGAGAACUCUAAAGAGACUGCCGGUGAUAAACCGGAGGAAGGUGGGGACGACGUCAAGUCAUCAUGGCCCUUAUGGGAUGGGCUACACACGUGCUACAAUGGGGGGUACAAAGAGCAGCCAACUGGCAACAGUGCGCGAAUCUCAAAAAGCCUCUCGUAGUCCGGAUCGGAGUCUGCAACUCGACUCCGUGAAGUCGGAAUCGCUAGUAAUCGCGGAUCAGAAUGCCGCGGUGAAUACGUUCCCGGGCCUUGCACACACUGCCCGUC
rnacentral:rRNA from 1 species